AUGAACGCUGGCGGCGUGCCUAAUACAUGCAAGUCGAGCGAACAGAUGAUUAGCUUUCUCCUCUGACGUUAUCGUCGUACUGUUUAGUAACACUUUGAUAACCUACCUAUAAUACUGUGUUUACUUCGGUAAACCGGUGCUAUUACCGGUUAAUAUAUUUAACCGCUUGUUUCAAUAUUUAUAUUCGGUUUUUCUUUCACUUUUAGAUUGAUCCUCUCCGCAUUAGCUAGUUGGUAAGGUAACGGCUUACCAAGGCAACGAUGCGUAGCCGACCUGAGAGGGUGAUCGGCCAAACGGGAACUGAGACACGGAAAAGAGUCCUACGGGAGGCAGCAGUAGGGAAUAGUACGCAAUGGGAGAAAGCAUGACGGAGCAAAGCCGAGUGAGAGAUGAAGGUCUUCGGAUCGUAAAACUCUGUUAUUAGGGAAGAAAAAAUGUGUAAGUAAAUAUGAACGUAGUGACGGUAACUAAUAAGAAAGCAACGGCUAACUACGUG
rnacentral:rRNA from 1 species